rfam:Echinostoma caproni strain Egypt genome assembly, scaffold: ECPE_scaffold0011622
ACCACGGCCCUCUUUAGGGCCACUCACACUAUGAUUGCUUGUUUGU